UCACAUAGUCUAAGGCCAGAAGGAUCAUCUGGUGUGAUGUCGCAUAUAGCAGAGACCAUAGAACUUCCCGCAAAUAAUUCCUAGAGAAGAUACUUUAGAAAAAAAUCCAGUCUUGAUUUAAAAAUUGCCAAUGAUGGAGAAUUCACCAUGAUCCUUGAUUCCACAGAAGUCAAAGUCUGCUGUAUUUGCAGACAGACAAAUGGAAAGCUGUCACUAAUGGACUGAAUGUAUAUGGAGCAACAACAUUUUACAAUGGUCAAAUAAACACAUUCCAGCUGUGCUCUGGUCAAGCUCUCAGGAACAGAAAGACAAUUAAUGUUUUGUAUGUGGUUGUGAGUUCCAGUCUCACCCUAUAAGGAGAUCAAAAGUUUUCUAUGGCUGUUGUAGUAAGCACCACAGCCAAAUUUCAUUGGUUUGUUUCCAUCAGAAAUAACCAACAUCUGCAUGGUACUACCUCAGUAAUGUUUUAUGGCUUAUAUUACACAAGGACGAUACAUGUUUAACAUUGAAUUUCCUCUAUGGGGA